rnacentral:tRNA from 1 species
GCCUAAGUGGCGGAAUAGGUAGACGCACAGGACUUAAAAUCCUGCGAGUGUUAAAGCUCGUGCCGGUUCAAGUCCGGCCUUAGGCA